CCACACCGUCCAGUCAAACAACCUGUCGAACACUUGCAUCCUUUAAGGAGUGAGUUGACUCGAUCACGGACAGCCUGUACGUUGGUGGCAGUAUCCCAUUUAAUGAGCCCACUGUAUAACUGGAGAGUUGUUUUGAGAGGUCGUUGAUGAGCUGCUCGAGGUCUGCAUCUGUACUCUGGCAUUUAUUACUUUAGAGAAUAAUCAGGACAAACCUGGCGAGUGAAAUCAAUCUUCAAGGAGGCUGCAAUGGUACGUGCUGGCUCACUUUGCCAGUUGCUUGGACUACUCAUAUUCCCACUGACGCCAUGGCACAACUCACAUACUCCGUUGUCUGCAACACUGUCACUGACUUCCCCAAAAGAAAGCUGCCUUCUAGUUUUUCGAGCCACUCCCCUAGACACUAUUUUACAACUGUUUGUAUUAAUUUUUUAUAUCAUUAUUGUGUGACACAACAAA